GACGAACGCUGGCGGCGUGCUUAACACAUGCAAGUCGAACGGAAAGGCCCUGCUUUUGUGGGGUGCUCGAGUGGCGAACGGGUGAGUAACACGUGAGUAACCUGCCCUUGACUUUGGGAUAACUUCAGGAAACUGGGGCUAAUACCGGAUAGAAGCUCCUGCUGCAUGGUGGGGGUUGGAAAGUUUCGGCGGUUGGGGAUGGACUCGCGGCUUAUCAGCUUGUUGGUGGGGUAGUGGCUUACCAAGGCUUUGACGGGUAGCCGGCCUGAGAGGGUGACCGGCCACAUUGGGACUGAGAUACGGCCCAGACGGCUACGGGAGGCAGCAGUGGGGAAUAUUGCACAAUGGGCGGAAGCCUGAUGCAGCGACGCCGCGUGCGGGAUGACGGCCUUCGGGUUGUAAACCGCUUUCGCCUGUGACGAAGCGUGAGUGACGGUAAUGGGUAAAGAAGCACCGGCUAACUACGUG
rnacentral:rRNA from 1 species